rnacentral:rRNA from 1 species
GUUAAUGAGGCGAACCGGGGGAACUGAAACAUCUAAGUACCCCGAGGAAAAGAAAUCAACCGAGAUUCCCCCAGUAGCGGCGAGCGAACGGGGAGGAGCCCAGAGCCUGAAUCAGUGUGUGUGUUAGUGGAAGCGUCUGGAAAGGCGCGCGAUACAGGGUGACAGCCCCGUACACAAAAAUGCACAUACUGUGAGCUCGAUGAGUAGGGCGGGACACGUGGUAUCCUGUCUGAAUAUGGGGGGACCAUCCUCCAAGGCUAAAUACUCCUGACUGACCGAUAGUGAACCAGUACCGUGAGGGAAAGGCGAAAAGAACCCCGGCGAGGGGAGUGAAAAAGAACCUGAAACCGUGUACGUACAAGCAGUGGGAGCACAGAGCAAUCUGUGUGACUGCGUACCUUUUGUAUAAUGGGUCAGCGACUUAUAUUCUGUAGCAAGGUUAACCGAAUAGGGGAGCCGAAGGGAAACCGAGUCUUAACUGGGCGUUAAGUUGCAGGGUAUAGACCCGAAACCCGGUGAUCUAGCCAUGGGCAGGUUGAAGGUUGGGUAACACUAACUGGAGGACCGAACCGACUAAUGUUGAAAAAUUAGCGGAUGACUUGUGGCUGGGGGUGAAAGGCCAAUCAAACCGGGAGAUAGCUGGUUCUCCCCGAAAGCUAUUUAGGUAGCGCCUCGUGAAUUCAUCUCCGGGGGUAGAGCACUGUUUCGGCAAGGGGGUCAUCCCGACUUACCAACCCGAUGCAAACUGCGAAUACCGGAGAAUGUUAUCACGGGAGACACACGGCGGGUGCUAACGUCCGUCGUGAAGAGGGAAACAACCCAGACCGCCAGCUAAGGUCCCAAAGUCAUGGUUAAGUGGGAAACGAUGUGGGAAGGCCCAGACAGCCAGGAUGUUGGCUUAGAAGCAGCCAUCAUUUAAAGAAAGCGUAAUAGCUCACUGGUCGAGUCGGCCUGCGCGGAAGAUGUAACGGGGCUAAACCAUGCACCGAAGCUGCGGCAGCGACGCUUAUGCGUUGUUGGGUAGGGGAGCGUUCUGUAAGCCUGCGAAGGUGUGCUGUGAGGCAUGCUGGAGGUAUCAGAAGUGCGAAUGCUGACAUAAGUAACGAUAAAGCGGGUGAAAAGCCCGCUCGCCGGAAGACCAAGGGUUCCUGUCCAACGUUAAUCGGGGCAGGGUGAGUCGACCCCUAAGGCGAGGCCGAAAGGCGUAGUCGAUGGGAAACAGGUUAAUAUUCCUGUACUUGGUGUUACUGCGAAGGGGGGACGGAGAAGGCUAUGUUGGCCGGGCGACGGUUGUCCCGGUUUAAGCGUGUAGGCUGGUUUUCCAGGCAAAUCCGGAAAAU